ensembl:lncRNA
AUCAUUUGUCAUGCAUGUGUUUUCCUCUUUUUGAAGAUUUGCACUUUAAUUGUGAAAAAAAAAAUGGCAGAAAGACAGAAAUAUAUCAGGAAAAUGCAUUCUUGCCAUUGUUUUGUUGUCUUGCCCCAGCAGAGAUUCUUCUUAGUCCUUUCUCUGUCUCAAAUGGGGAAAUUCCUGGAAUAGUCUUCUUUGGGAGAGAUGCGUAGAAACAAGGAAUUUUGGAUGAUAAAACUGCUGAACUUAGGUUUUCAUAGAAUUUUUUAAAUCUAUCAUAUUAUUUUAAAUAAUGUUUCAUGGAUGGUUCUUUAACAUCCCCCCAUUAUGUUUUGGUUUGUUUAGGUAUUGUUUACAUGUACUUUUCUCAUUUAUGAAUAAUAUCAAUAAUGUGUCUGUUCUUUGAUAACCUAGAGAACAAAAUAUUACAUAUUGAGCCUUGAACAGCAUCUCAAUGAUGCUGAAACUAACAGCACGUAUGACCUGAACCCAGCCUAAAUCCAGAUUGGGACUUGAACCCACAGUUUUGUUUGUUUGUUUGUUUUGUUUUCUCUGUUUGCCUUUUCUAGGGCCGCUCCCGCAGCAUAUGGAUGUUCCCAGGCUAGGGGUCUAAUCGGAGCUGUAGCCACCGGCCUACACCAGAGCCACGGCAACGCAGGAUCUGAGCCACGUCUGCAACCUACACCACAGCUCACGGCAACACCAGAUCUUUAACCCACUGAGCGAGGCCAGGGAUCAAACCUGCAACCUCAUGGUUCCUAGUCGGAUUCCUUAACCACUGAGCCACGACAGGAACUCCCGAACCCACAGUUUUUAAAUUAGAAUCACUCACCCAAUGUCUGGACUUACUGAGGUUCAGGUUUAUUUGUGCCUCAGCACAGGAAUUCAGCCAGAGACUAAGUGAUGGGCAAGAAAUAGCUUUAUUAAGAUAAGACAGUUGUGAAAGAUGCAAGCUAGCAGGCAAGGAGACUCUGCUCCAAGGAUUUGAUGGGCUACAGUUUUAUUAUCCAAUGGAAGUGGGGGUGGGAAAAGACCACCUCUUCCUCUUGGAUAUCUGGUAAGAGAGUAUUUGACCCUAUAAGGGCAAACUAGGACUGUUGGUGCUUAUUUAAAUCAGCAGAAGGGUCGUUCUUAAACUCCUGCCCUUGGUCUGAAUCUAAAUGCAGGCCUCACCCCAACCCCCGCCCAAUGACCUGAGGCAUAUCUUGCCCCUCCACUACUCUAGCAAGCCUGCCUCAUUCUGAUGGGCCUCUUGAGCAAUUAUUAAUUUACAGUGGUCUCCCAAAUUUCCCUAGGCUUCCCUCUCUAUCUGUGGUCCCUUAUUGGGACUUCUGCAACUGCCUGUGUAACUAUCCUACUCCAUCCCUGUCCUUGCCACUUUUAACUACUGAUACAUGAAGUAGUUGCUUGUUUUAAUCUGUGCCAGGGUAUAACUUUUAUUCACUGACCUCAUCAUCAUCAUUAUUGUCAUCAUUAACCUAAUAAUAUUAUAAGAAUUUGGUAUGUUCAUUGAGCUAAGAGCAGAAGGAAACAAAAGUGACAUCCUGUGGUGUCAAUUCAAUCAAAGCUCAGUGUUGUUGGUAGGGAGGGCUUAUUGACUAGGAAAACCAAUAGGAGUUCAUAGCCACUUCCUGCAAAUAAGGCAUUGCCCAAGUCCCAUUUCUAGGCUCAGGAUUGCCGUCUAUCCUAUAUUUGGUGUCCACAUUUCUUGUUGUUUGUAUUAAAACAUAUACCCAGUCUGCAUUCCCAAUAACAAAGGCAGAUUUUGCUGCUUUAGUUCCAUUCCUUUCUUUUCUUCAGUCACUGAAAUCAUAAAACAUAGGCAUUUUGAGUGAACAUUUAUGCUGACAGUAUCUAUUCAUAGUAGAUUAGGUGUGAUCAUUGUAAGAGAAUUUUAUACACUAGUACAAUAAAAUUAUUAAAUUAUCCAGGCUGUAUCAUGUUUUUUAUUGUUUUAAAUUUCCUUUUAUUAUGCCUUAUCUAAAUUAGUAGUGUAAGUCACAUGUUCCCUUACUUCUGCAUUAGAUUUAUUAAUUUCUUCACUUGGCCGUAUGUUUGAAUGCCUUGACAUGAACUGGAUAUCAAUUCUCUUGUCACUCUUUUCUUUAUUCUGCUGUAUUGUGACUUGACACAAAAAUACACACUGCAAAAUGUAUGUGAGGCUUGGACAUUAACAUGAUUGACAGUGAACUUGCAGGGCAAGGAGGAGGCUAAUCCAUAUAUGACACACAGAAACUGUUUUCCUGGCAACAACUUCAUCAUUGUUUCUGAACAUGAGAGAUGAGCCAAUGUACCCAAAAAAUCAUUCAGGUAAACAGCAAAGAAUUUUGUUUGGCAGGGCAUGAAUACCAUGGUCUUUCUUCUUCUCACUUCACUGUGGUAAAUGAAAUAGAUUCUUCUCACCUAGAUGAAUAGCUCUUUGAAUUCGAUAAAAGAUAUGUAAAUCUUUGAGUGUUUCCUAUUGAGUCAGUUCUUCUGUAUGUAUGUAAUAACAUCUCAGAGUAGUUAAGAUACAAGUCAAGCCCUUGGGGAAAAAGUAUUCACACACAUUUUUGGAAUGUAAGCUGGAGAUAGCCACCUUUGAGGGGCAAUACACUGUUUUGAGAAAAAGUUGGUAUCUUUUGAUAGCCUUUAUCAAAAUUUUAGGUCCAAUAUCUUAUAGUAUUCGAAAUUUCACAUUAUAUGAAGAAAAGAGAAAAUAGGAGGCUAAAUUGGAUCAAAAAAUUGUAUGAGGCCUAAGAAAAGACUGUUUCCAGAUGGAAUUCACUGAAGAUUCUGUUUCUUUGCAUUUUCAUUAUAAUUAAUUCUUUAAUAUUGCCAGUUGAAUCUCAUGGAUUGAAAAAGUUCCAAUCUAUACAAUCUGGCAUCAUGCUGCUCUUCUGUUUCCUAAGGGAAGAUUGGGAAAUUCACAGUAUGAAUGGAGCAAUUAGAGCAGAGGUGUGGCAUCAGGAGGUGUGGGCCAAAGAGAUAUAACAUCAUGACAGUGGCCUCUUUCCAAAUACAUCCUAGUCAAAUUAGCACGUGGUAAUAGAGCGGAAAAGGGAGAGAGAGUGAUGCUGCUCUUUGGAAAACAGUAUAAAUCAUAAAUUUUAAAUUCUGUGGUCUCCCAAACCAUAUCCUGAGAGAGAUGUCCACAGAGAGCAGUUGGAAGGAGUAUUAAAUGAGUUGCCAAGACAUGCGGAAUUUCAGGCAAGAACACAUAGUAGUUGAGGAGAGUGGGAAACAGGGAAGAAGACAGCCCAUUUCCUGGAACAUCAGUUACUCAUCAAGACCCUCAGGCUAACUGAGGAUGGAGAAUUAGCAAAGAUGGGAACUUCUUGGUAUCUAAUCCAAUUAUUUUGGGGAAGAUAAGUUGUCUACAUCACAGAGGGGCUCAAAUCUGCAUGGGGGGCAGAGCCAAGGUCUAUUGCUUCCUGUCUUUCUUUCUAGGAUUGCCCUGAAAGCUUAAAGCAGUCACUCCUUUAAGGUGUAAAAACAUAGGAAGUGUCAAAUUCUUGGAUCCUUAUGUAAAAUUCAUGGAAUCUUUUAUCUUACCUUAUGACAUUUUAAUUGUAGGAGCAAUCCAUACUUGUAGAAAAUUUCUGAAACUAAAAAGGGAAUAGUUUCCCUCUCCCAUCCCAAGGUAACCAUGGUUAACUGCCUUAUUCUUGGUUCUGAAGACUAGGAAUGAGUAUCAAGAUGGUAGGAAUAAAACUCACAGACAACUAUCAGUUUUAUUCACAAGCUUUAUGAGGUAUCAUAAGAUUGUGAAAAUCAGUAUGCACAAAAGAUAGUUCUGAGCAGCUUGCUGUCCCCAUUCUGCUCUUCACAGGGAUGUGGCCAGAAGAGACAUGAUAAUCGUUGCCUUUGUUAAGUCCAGACAAACGGUCCCUAAUCUUUAAACACAUGACCUCCCCAUCUACCCCCACUGCCACCAAAGGACCAUUUUGUUUUUUGCUUUCUGUUUCUGACAACCUUUUUCUUUCUUUCUUUCUUUCCUCCUUCCCUCCUUCCUUCCCUCCUUCCUUCCUUCCUUCCUUCCUUUCUUUCUUUCUUUCUUUCUUUCUUUCUUUCUUUCUUUCUUCCUUUCCUUCCUUCCUUCCCAUCCAUCCAUCGAUCAUGGCAAAGUGGAGUUGAAAGUAUGUAUAUAUUAGACUCUGUCCUUUUCAUUCAUUAAACACUUUGAAUAUUUCCUGUAUCAAUAUGGGAAGACUCUUCAAAAAUAUUGUUGUCAAAUAUUAGCUCAAAUUUUAAGAAGCAAAGUAGACCGCACCAGAUUUUUAUUCAUUUGGAAAAAUUCAGAGUGAGUUAAUUUAAUAUAUUCUCAUAUUUAAAAACCCACUUGCUAAGUUGUGAGGACAAAAAUGACUGACCCUUCCACUUGUAUCAUUGGGAAAAUUAUCAUAAAUAUUUACUAGGGAAGAUACCAGUUAAAUUUAACUGUAAGAGUUUGCCUCUACAAGGAAGGAACACAUAUUCAGAGGUCUUACUCAUAGAAGUUAGAAUUCUUCAUGAAAAUAUUCCACAUUUAAAUAUUUUUAUUUUAUUUUUUUUGCUUUUUAAAAUUAGUCCUUUAUUUGCCCCCCCCCCUUUAAAAGAAAAAAAA